AUCUUUUGAGAUCAACGACCCAUAAUCAACCCACCUCUUUAAUUACCCCCUUACCCAAAACCCUAACCCAUUUUUCCCUGCCCAGCCAUCUCAUUAUCCUCUCAUCUCUCCUCCCCCCUUUAGUAAGCCCUAUCCGCCAUACCCUAACCUUCUCUGAUUCUAUCCCAAACAUGGAAUCAAUCCUUGAUUCACUUACCUAUUUCGUGAUACUCCGCUAUUAUAUGCAUGUCUAUGGUGUUACUUAGUUCUUGCCCUAUUUUUGGCAAGAACUACUUCUCAAGAACAUGUCCUAUUUACUUUGAUUCUAUGAAUAGUUGGACGACCUUUCGUCUAUACAUACGCUAUAAUGAAUGAUUCUUGCAUUAUUGAUUUGACUCAAGUCCCAACUAGGGUUUGAGAUUUUCCCUUUCCCUUUCCUGAUUCUCGAUUGCAUAUGAUAUUCUUCCCUUUCUUGUGUUUGACUAACAAUUUUUCUUUUUAAUUUUUUUUUUAAUCUACUGUACUUCCUUAUUUAUGUGUUAUUUUCUCUAAAAUUGAUUCUCACAUGCUAUAUUUUCCUUAUUGUGUGUUUAAUCUACCGUAUUUCCUUAUUUGUAUGUGUUAAAUCCGCUACUAUAUAAACCCCUCCCCUAAAUCCCCUUCAACAAACUUUGGAAUCACCUAAUCACUGCUAUUGAUCUCACUACUCUCCCCUCUCGCUCAUUAUUACACGCGAGCACUCUCUAAAAUUAUUGAUUUCUGGGCUGGCUAAAAGCCAAGGCCAUUGAACGACCUCUUCCGAUACAAGAACUAGUCGGAGCCCAUUGUUGAGGCUAUUGUGAACUCUGAAGCAUCAGAGACCUGCGGGUUUUGCUAUUACGCCUUUUACUCUUUUGAUUCUGCUACUAGUUAGUGUUUCAAUUUCUUUCAUUAUGCAUACUUAUAUGUGUUUGAAUUACAUAAGCAUGAUUUAGUUGUGAGUCCAUAACAUUGCCUAUGAUAAUGCUUAAUACUCUUUGUCAUUCUGCGUUAGUUGAACGCAUGAGAUAGUUUGCUACUUUGUCCUUAGUUUGUAUUAUGCUAAUCUGUAAUCCUCACCAUAGUUUGCAUUUCAAUGUUGAUCUUUUUUUUCUUCUGGAUUGAGUUCUGUAUCUCUAGCAUCUGAAUAUGUUCAAUUUUGAGUUUCAAUGCAAGUCUAUUUUGAUAUGAAUCUGACUAUUGUGGCUAUAUAUUAUUAGUUGUAGAAUUUCUUCCUGUUUUGCUUUAGAUAUCACUACAACCCUAUAAGAAACCACCCCCAUCUUGAAUGAAUCCUUUAAGUGAUGUGUCUUGUGUUUGAUUGACUGUUCUUUGUGUACUAUAUGGAAUACUAGUUAAAGUUCUAAAUAUGUUUCCUUGCUAUCUUGAUUUUAGGAUUAAUACCCUAUACUUUUCAUCAAUUAUGACCUUGCUUCCAUGCUAAUAUGUUUCCCCAAUAUGCAUUGGUUCAUUUUCUACUCUGUCCUUUAAUUUAUUAUCACCAUGUGUGUCCCCAUCAUGUCUAAAUACUGAUUGACAUAGCUCUAGGAUGUAUACUCAGCUUAAUGGGAUCUUUGAUUUUCAAUUAAUUUAACUCCACGCAUCUGUACAUGACAAUUUAUGUAUGCUUGUAAACCAAUUUCUUCUCCUAAUUCCUUCAAUAUAAGGUUGUGUAUGUGGUACUUUGGUAUGUAUACUUUUCUAGACCUAAUGGCCUACUUGACUAGUUUCUCUAUAUGCUCAACUGUGUAUUACUUAAUUUAUGUCCCUCCAUCACUAUCCACUCUCCUUACUUGCUACUCUUCUAUUUUGAAUUCUCAUUCUUAUUCAGUCGAAAGCCAAGGCUAUCUAGGUUCUAUUGUUGGCCUCCCUAGUGAACUCUGACACACUAGGGCUUGGUCUUAGUCACUCCCUCAACCUCCAAAACUAUUCCUAAUAUCCUACUUCUAUGUCAUGUACUGUGUACCUGUAUUGGUUGUUCCAAGUGGUGUAACACUUGAUGUUGUGGUUAAGUAAUUUGGUGUGGACUCUUCUAUGAACCUUUGGUUCAUGCGAUGAACGUGGCUUUGUUGAGGGCUUGGGUACUUCGUGUAAGAUAUAUGGAAGGCCCAACAAUGAUGUUAUUUAUUUAUUUUGUUUGGGCCUAUUGCAGGCAUGUUCACUGUUAUGUAAUAUUGCUAAUUCACUCAUUAUUGGUCCUGUAAUAAUCUUUGUAUGAAUAAUUGGGGUUGUUAGUAAAAGGAAAUGGAGUAGAUUUUAAUAUUUUCCUACGAUGGAGAAAUAAUAUGCCUAUAGGACUUAAUAAUAUGUUUACUAUAUGUGUCAUUCACUCUCUAUGCUCACUAUAGAAAUCAUGCCAUUAGGAAAAGUACACACUCACACUACUUGUCUACUAGCAGAGCGUGCGCUUAAAUGCUUCAAUUAUCCUUGUUGCUACGUGCUAUUAGAAACUCUGCCCAUAGGAAAUACAUAUCGUUGAACUUUCCUUCAACUUGCAUCGCUGCAGUAUAUCCAAUAGAGAUCAUGCCUAUAGGAUUUUAAUCAUCUCAUUUUUUAUUUUAUCGUACUGUUCACCUAGAAAACAUGCCUAUAAGGCUAAGGUAUAAGGAUAAAAUCAGUUCUAAGUGCUAAUCGCUAAAGAUCCUACCUAUAGAAUACCACAAUUUGCUUUAAUGACUGUAAAGGAUACCCCUUCUCAACAAAAGCAUGUAUACUUAUGGGUUUCUUCCGAUAGAUUCCACUAUCUUUACUACAUAAAUCACUUAGACACAACAUCUACAGAAUUAAUAUCUGA
rnacentral:lncRNA from 1 species